rnacentral:rRNA from 1 species
GAUGAACGCUGGCGGCGUGCCUAAUACAUGCAAGUCGAACGCUGGAGAUCUAGCUUGCUAGAUCGAAGGAGUGGCGAACGGGUGAGUAAUACAUAAGCAACCUACCCACGAAGACUGGGAUAAUCCCUGGAAACGGGGACUAAUACCGGAUAGGUAAUCGGAAGGCAUCUUCUGGUUAUUAAAGGUUAAAAACACUGGUUGAUGGGCUUAUGGCGCAUUAGUUAGUUGGUGAGGUAACGGCCCACCAGGACGAUGAUGCGUAGCCGUCCUGAGAGGGUGAGCGGCCACAUUGUGACUGGGACACGGCCCAGACUCCUACGGGAGGCAGCAGUAGGGAAGUCUCGGCAAUGGGAGCAACCCUGACCGAGCAACGCCGCGUGAGUGAAGACGGCCUUCGGGUUGUAAAGCUCUGUUGUAAGGGAAGAACGGUAGAUAGAGAAUAUCUAAGUGACGGUACCUGACCAGAAAGCCACGGCUAACUACGUG